rnacentral:rRNA from 1 species
UACAGAGGGGGCAAGCGUUGUUCGGAAUUACUGGGCGUAAAGGGCGCGUAGGCGGCCUUCUAAGUCAGACGUGAAAUCCCCGGGCUCAACCCGGGAACUGCGUCUGAUACUGGAAGGCUUGAAACCGGGAGAGGGAUGUGGAAUUCCAGGUGUAGCGGUGAAAUGCGUAGAUAUCUGGAGGAACACCGGUGGCGAAGGCGGCAUCCUGGACCGGUAUUGACGCUGAGGCGCGAAAGCCAGGGGAGCAAACGGG